rnacentral:rRNA from 1 species
AUUGAACGCUGGCGGCAGGCCUAACACAUGCAAGUCGAGCGGAUGAAGGGAGCUUGCUCCUGGAUUCAGCGGCGGACGGGUGAGUAAUGCCUAGGAAUCUGCCUGGUAGUGGGGGAUAACGUCCGGAAACGGGCGCUAAUACCGCAUACGUCCUGAGGGAGAAAGUGGGGGAUCUUCGGACCUCACGCUAUCAGAUGAGCCUAGGUCGGAUUAGCUAGUUGGUGGGGUAAAGGCCUACCAAGGCGACGAUCCGUAACUGGUCUGAGAGGAUGAUCAGUCACACUGGAACUGAGACACGGUCCAGACUCCUACGGGAGGCAGCAGUGGGGAAUAUUGGACAAUGGGCGAAAGCCUGAUCCAGCCAUGCCGCGUGUGUGAAGAAGGUCUUCGGAUUGUAAAGCACUUUAAGUUGGGAGGAAGAGCAGUAAGUUAAUACCUUGCUGUUUUGACGUUACCAACAGAAUAAGCACCGGCUAACUACGUG